GAUGAACGCUAGCGGCAGGCUUAACACAUGCAAGUCGAGGGGUAACAGAGGUAGCUUGCUACUUGCUGACGACCGGCGCACGGGUGCGUAACGCGUAUAGAAUCUACCUUAUACUGGGGGAUAGCCUUUGGAAACGAAGAUUAAUACCCCAUAGUAUGUUUGAAUGGCAUCAUUUGGACAUUAAAGUUUCGGCGGUAUAAGAUGACUAUGCGUUCUAUUAGUUUGUUGGUAAGGUAACGGCUUACCAAGGCGACGAUGGAUAGCCGGCCUGAGAGGGUGAACGGCCACAAGGGGACUGAGACACGGCCCUU
rnacentral:rRNA from 1 species